AUGAACCGGCAAUGGAUGUACGGUGACAUACACACCUCUGAGUACAUUAAGGGCGUGCAUAAUUUUCUCGAAGUGGCUGAGGCAAACAAGAAGAAUGGUUUUAUGUGUUGUCCAUGCCCUAUAUGUGGAAAUAUGAAGUCUUACUCUGACUCGAAAACAACUCACACCCACCUGCUUUAUAAAGGUUUCAUGCCACACUAUAAUGUUUGCACCAAGCACGGAGAAAUAGGGGUUAUGAUGGAAGACAACAAAGAAGAGGAGGACGAUGACAACUAUGUGCCCCCUGAAUACAGUGAUGCUGCAAUGGGGGAAGCUGUUGAAGAUCAAGAGGAACCAUAUGAUGUGCCCGAUGAUGAUCUCCGUCGGGUCAUUGUUGAUUCAAGGAGACAGUGCGAAAGCAAAAAGGAGAAGUUGAAGUUCGAUUGCAUGCUAGAGGAUCACAAAAAAGGUUUGUACCCCAACUGUGAAGAUGGCAACACAAAGCUCGGUACGAUACUAGAAUUGCUGCAGUGGAAGGCAGAGAAUGGUGUGCCUGACAAAGGAUUUGAGAAGCUACUAAAAAUAUUGAAGAAGAACCUUCCAAAGGAUAACAAAUUGCCCGGCAAUACGUAUGCAACAAAGAAGGUUGUAUGCCCUCUAGGAUAG
rnacentral:rRNA from 1 species